CCUACGGGAGGCAGCAGUAGGGAAUCUUUCACAAUGGGCGAAAGCCUGAUGGAGCAACGCCGCGUGCAGGAUGAAGGCCUUCGGGUUGUAAACUGCUUUUAUAAGCGAGAAAUAUGAUGGUAACUUAUGAAUAAGGAUCGGCUAACUACGUGCCAGCAGCCGCGGUCAUACGUAGGAUCCGAGCAUUAUCCGGAGUGACUGGGAGUAAAGAGUUGCGUAGGUGGCAUAAUAAGUAGCUAGUGAAAGCUGGUGGCUCAACCAUUCAGACUAUUAGCUAAACUGUUAAGCUCGAGACCGUUAGGGGUAACUGGAAUUUCUAGUGUAGGAGUGAAAUCCGUAGAUAUUAGAAGGAACACCAAUAGCGUAGGCAGGUUGCUGGGACGGUUCUGACACUAAGGCACGAAAGCGUAGGGAGCAAACGGGAUUAGAUACCCCAGUAGUC
rnacentral:rRNA from 1 species